rnacentral:antisense_RNA from 1 species
GGAGGAAGCGGGGAGGGCGAGCGGCGGGAUCUCGGCGCCUCUGCAUGCUUGCACUUAACGAGAGCCCAGAGCGAACACGACCCACAUUUGUCUUUUUGUUUUAAGAGGAAAUAUAGGAGUUACAGCAUAGAAUUACAAUAUCUGGACAUUAGAACUGACAGGUCCCGGUCACAGAAUGGCACCGCGCGACACACUUGGUCCCUGAGGCCUGGAUGCCGCUCAGCGAACGUUUGCGGAAUAGGGUUGGAUUUACUGUCCCCCACCGAGCCGGUUGCUCAUUCAUUCAGCAUAAUUGAAUACCUCCUGUGUGCCAGGCACUGAAUCAAGUGUCGGAGAUAUCACGCUGAAAGACAAUGUCCUGCCCUCAAGCUCCCGGCCGGUUACUUGACAACCUUCCGGGACCUCAACACUACGUGCCUACUGUGUGAAAGGAAAGUGCCAGGUGGAGGACACAAAGAUGGCGAGCGACACAGGAUAGCCCUUAACAAUUAAGCGUGACUAAUUUUAAUAACAAAUGAGAAUAUGAUGUGACAUCCGUUCCAAAUCCUGUCGUUCCAAGUAACUUCUUAAGCAUCCUUCACGAUACAGCCUCUGCUUGAAAGGAAUUAAAACAGGUACAAGCAUGGAAGGAGACGUUGCUAUCAUAUUUCAAGAAUAAGAAAAUGCUCUCUCUGUUUUGUGUGGUUGUGCAGCAGGCAAUGAAACGAGCUUACACAUUCAGGCUUCCGUGUUUUACUGAAACAACAGUCACAGAUGCAAUAGAUGUUAAAGGUUGAAAGACGAGUGCGGUAAAAGCAUUAUGAGGACAAGAAGAAAACAUGUAAAUAUUUGUGUUGUUUCAUUCUUUGUUGUGGUGGCAGAAACAGCCCCCUCUUUCUAAGGUAACUCCAAUAUAAUGGAAUCUCCCAGCUUUGAAAUACUCCAUGUCUGUUUCAUUUUCCAGAAAUAUGGAAAAAUGAAUAUAUAAUAAAAAACCCUAUUUCUCA